CCGUGCAGUUCGCGCCUGUGGCCAGAGGCGGGGCGGAAGCGCGGCUGGGCGGGUCCCGCACGGUCGCCGUCCGCCUGCGCUGCUCGGAGCUCCCGGAGCACCCGGGCUGAGCCGCGCCCGCCGCAACCACCUAGAAGCCCAGCCUGGCCCUGGCACACGGUGAACCUUAAUCGAGCCCCAGUGACAAAAAGCAAGAGAAGCUGGGCUUAACUGUACCAGAAUUCACGGCAGGGCGAUGUCAGCCAUGUUUCCUGAGCCUAUCAACCACCGCCACCAGCAUCACCAACAAUAUCUACCUGUAUUUACAGAUUUUAGUGAAGAAAUCCUACAGUAAAAGAUUUUGAAAAAUGACUUUCCCCAAUGUAUCUCUUGAAUAAAUACGGACAUUGAUAUGCCUUAUAA